UACGGGGGGAGCAAGCGUUGUCCGGAUUUAUUGGGCGUAAAGAGCUCGUAGGCGGCUUGUCGCGUCGUCCGUGAAAACCCACAGCUCAACUGUGGGCUUGCGGUCGAUACGGGCAGGCUAGAGUUCGGUAGGGGAGACUGGAAUUCCUGGUGUAGCGGUGAAAUGCGCAGAUAUCAGGAGGAACACCGGUGGCGAAGGCGGGUCUCUGGGCCGAUACUGACGCUGAGGAGCGAAAGCGUGGGGAGCGAACAGG
rnacentral:rRNA from 1 species